AUGUCGCUGAUAAAGGACACAAGGGCCGCGCAGGAGGUGCCGGCGUUGCAGGAGUUCUUCGCCAUGAUCGCCAAGGACUCGGCGCGGGCUUGCUACGGGCCCAAGCACGUCGAGGUCGCGCAUGAGCGUCUCGCCAUCCAGACCCUCCUGCUCACCGACACUUGGUUCCGCAACCCCGACGUUGCUGCUAGGCGCAAGUGCGUCGAUCUGGCCGAAUCGGUGAAGAAGAUCGGUGGCAACGUCCGCGUCCUUUCGUCGAUGCAUGUCUCCGGCAACCAGCUCGAGCAGCUCACGGGGAUAGCCGCGGUUCUUCGGUUUCCCAUGCCUGAUCUUGACGACAUCGAGAUGUGA
rnacentral:rRNA from 1 species